UACGGGGGGGGGCAAGCGUUGUUCGGAAUUACUGGGCGUAAAGGGCUCGUAGGCGGCCAACUAAGUCGGACGUGAAAUCCCUCGGCUUAACCGGGGAACUGCGUCCGAUACUGGAUGGCUUGAGUUUGGGAGAGGGAUGCGGAAUUCCAGGUGUAGCGGUGAAAUGCGUAGAUAUCUGGAGGAACACCGGUGGCGAAGGCGGCAUCCUGGGACCAAUACUGACGCUGAGGAGCGAAAGCCAGGGGAGCAAAGCGGG
rnacentral:rRNA from 1 species